GACGAACGCUGGCGGCGUGCUUAACACAUGCAAGCCGAACGGAAAGGCCUGCUUUCCCUUGUGGAUUGCGGGUACUCGAGUGGCGAACGGGUGAGUAACACGUGAGUGAUCUGCCCCCAACUUGGGUAUAAGCCUGGGAAACUGGGUCUAAUUCCCGAUAGGACUGCAGGGUGGUGCCUGUGGUGGAAAACGAUUUUCUAGUGGUUGGGGAUGAGCUCGCGGCCUAUCAGCUUGUUGGUGGGGUAAUGGCCUACCAAGGCGGCGACGGGUAGCCGGCCUGGGAGGGUGGACGGCCACAUUGGGACUGGGGUACGGCCCAGACUCCUACGGGAGGCAGCAGUGGGGAAUAUUGCACGAUGGGCGGAAGCCUGAUGCAGCGACGCCGCGUGGGGGAUGACGGCCUUCGGGUUGUAAACUCCUUUCGACCGCGAGGAAGCCACCUGGUUGGAAGGGUGGUGACGGUAGUGGUAGAAGAAGCACCGGCUAACUACGUG
rnacentral:rRNA from 1 species